GGUGGAAACGAGCGGCCGAACGAGCACCGCUCGAUCAACCAAGAUCGCGUGGCCACAAUUUCCAGGCGCUACCUGGUCGGGAGUGAGGCCGCUUCGCUCACGUGGCUGGGCCCAUCGCAUCACCGCUCACCUAGUCCGCGCGCGUCGCACCGUGUACCCACAGGCUGGGCCCACUUGUCACUGACGGAAGCAGAGCACGCCUGGGUGAAACGACAAAGAGUGGGCGGCGGCUUCGAAUCUCCAUGGCCCUUCUCCCUCAGUCCUCUCGUUCCCCAUUUUCCUCCUCCCAAAUCACGCGAGGUCCAACGGUAACCACCGGAGGAGGCAAAGGUAACCGGCGCCGCAGACGCAACCGAAGACGGGCGGCGAACAUUGGGAAGUGGAUCAUCUGCCACCGUAGCCGAAGUCGGGCGGAGGAAGCCAAAGGCGUUAGCGCGCGCGGGGAUUCGUUGCUCGUCGCCAGCGCGGGGGUCUGCAAACCGUUCUUCUCGGCAGAAUUCGAAAUGGCCCGCCGAUUGGCAGUAUUGUCGUGUUGAUAUCGACGGGGAGGCAGAGGAUGAUGAGGUUGGUGACCAAUUCUGCAUUGUGAAACGGUGGAGAUGGAAGGCGGCCGCGCAGGUGGGAGUUGUAUAUGGAGAUGGCACAUCGUUUGCAGCAGCCGUUGAGAAGCUAUUUUUGCAAAGAGAAAUUUGGCGAGGGAGAAAGGGAAAGGCAAGGAGGGAGGACCUAAACAGGAGGAGAAAAGGAUCGCCUCUUUUUUCACCCUUGCUAGUGCCUACUGCCUGCUUUGGCAAUGGAUAUCCAGACCUGGGAACCCCUUUGUUUCAUGGGUAAGAAGGUGGGGGCGGAUAGGGGCGUGGGGAAAAAGAAGUUGGUGGCCAGAGGGGUGUGAGAGCUUCAGGAGGGGAGGGGAGGGGAGGGCACGUGAUGGCCUGGGGACCACGUCCAAUGCGUGGUUUGUUGCGUUGACGCGUCUUCGUUGCUACCGGGGGAGGGUUUCCCUUUUCUGGGAUGGGGGGACAUAAUCUUUCCUUUUAUAGCAGUCGCUGAGGAACGCUAGGGAGCAGCCGGCCGCUCCCUAGACGCGUCCCGUUUUAUAUCGAUCGCCUUUCCGGGCGUGUUGCGUGGGCUUCCUUCGAGAUACUGCGUUUGACAGGGUUUUGAACUCAAGAUUUCUUAGCUCGGAUACCAUACAAAAUUCAUGUUGCAGCCACUUGCUCCAAAAGUUUAAACUGAUGUAAAGAGGCAGACAAUAUGUUUGAAAAGUUAUAUUUGACCAUUAACGUUUUCAACUCCCAAAUGUAUAGGAUGAAUAGUACUAAACUAGAAAAAAAUAUAGUGCUAAGUGAUGAUA